CCUUGCCUCCCUUGGAAGGACAGCUACUGAACCUGAAGCUCAAAUGCUUUGGACAUCAAAUGAGAUGAGAGGACUCUUUGGAAAAGAUCCUGAUGUUGGGAAAGAUUGAAGGCAAAAGGAGAAGGGGACAGCAGAGGAUGAGAUGGU